AGCGAACGCUGGCGGCAGGCCUAACACAUGCAAGUCGAACGAACUCUUCGGAGUUAGUGGCGGACGGGUGAGUAACACGUGGGAACGUGCCUUUUGGUUCGGAAUAACUCAGGGAAACUUGUGCUAAUACCGAAUGUGCCCUUCGGGGGAAAGAUUUAUCGCCAUUAGAGCGGCCCGCGUCUGAUUAGCUAGUUGGUGAGGUAACGGCUCACCAAGGCGACGAUCAGUAGCUGGUCUGAGAGGAUGACCAGCCACACUGGGACUGAGACACGGCCCAGACUCCUACGGGAGGCAGCAGUGGGGAAUCUUGCGCAAUGGGCGAAAGCCUGACGCAGCAAUGCCGCGUGAAUGAUGAAGGUCUUAGGAUUGUAAAAUUCUUUCACCGGGGACGAUAAUGACGGUACCCGGAGAAGAAGCCCCGGCUAACUUCGUG
rnacentral:rRNA from 1 species